rnacentral:lncRNA from 1 species
CACGUCAUAAUGUGUGCUGUAAAAAGUCAAUUUUUUACUAGUGUUAGAAAAACUAUAAUUUUUCGUCCUUCAAAACAAACGCCAUUAAAAAUAGCCUGAGUUGGCUAACGUCUGACCACCUAUGAUGAAAUGUUUCAUUGCUAACGUUUGCCAUGUGUGAUUACAGGUUUGAUAACAUUUUCUCUUCAUAGUUACCAUGGCUAAUGACCCUUCUCCCUCUCUCCACCUCGGCCUUUACCCUUGACACCCCUACCUUUGCCUCGACCUUCGAAUUUGACCCCGCCACUUCUCCAAAAAGUCUCUCAUCCUCGUUCUCUCUGUUUACAACGGUCCAAUAGGUCGUUUCUAUUGGGUGUGCGGCG